rnacentral:sRNA from 1 species
GGAGGUUCGACUCGAGCGAAGCGAGAGAACGUUGCGUCAGCAACGGCCCGCAGGGCGAGCCACGAAGUGGUGAGUCAUCCUCUAUCACCGACCA